CCUACGGGUGGCAGCAGUGAGGAAUAUUGGUCAAUGGGCGAGAGCCUGAACCAGCCAAGUCGCGUGAGGGAGUACUGCCCUAUGGGUUGUAAACCUCUUUUGUCGGGGAGCAAAAGCCGGACGUGUCCGGCUGUGAGAGUACCCGAAGAAAAAGCAUCGGCUAACUCCGUGCCAGCAGCCGCGGUAAUACGGAGGAUGCGAGCGUUAUCCGGAUUUAUUGGGUUUAAAGGGUGCGCAGGCGGACUUUUAAGUCAGCGGUAAAAUCGUGGGGCUCAACCCCAUCCAGCCGUUGAAACUGGGGAUCUAGAGUGUGCGAGAAGUAUGCGGAAUGCGUGGUGUAGCGGUGAAAUGCAUAGAUAUCACGCAGAACCCCGAUUGCGAAGGCAGCAUACCGGUGCACAACUGACGCUCAGGCACGAAAGCGUGGGUAUCGAACAGGAUUAGAUACCCCAGUAGUC
rnacentral:rRNA from 1 species